AUGAGGAGAAGGACUGGGUGGGGGCGGGCAGUGAACUAUCAGUGGCCGACGGUGGCUCUACGCUUAAGCAAAGGCCGCCAUCGAUGCAGUCGCCUCCUUCAAGGACGUGGGGACGUGCGCGGGUAUCCUCUCGAUCUUCCUUGCCGCGUGGGUGCCAAUGGGCCACCACAGCCCACGCUCGCCCUCCUUACCGGCGCCGGGAUUUUCCCCGCCAACUACCCCCUGAUGCGGACUGGAUCACACAGAAAAGAAACGGAGGCGGAGAGGUCCGGCAGAGGAUGGUGUGCGGCGGCCGGGGAGGCAAGGGUGGGUGAGUUCAGAGAGAGAUGGGAUGUUCGGCUUUUGCUGGGCUGGCCCAUGUGCUUAACAAAGAGAAGUUGGAGAGGGGGAGGUCCAUGGAUGUUCAACAAGAACAUCAUGUUCGCGUUCACCUCCGUGGGCUGCUGCUUCUCCAACAUCGUCUGCAAGAAGUGGUACAUCGACAUGAACAAUAGGGCUGGAGAGUUCAAGGAGCCGGAUUGGUUCUUGAACAGAAAGAAGGGUGGCAUGUUCGAAGGACUACACCUUUAUUUGGUUCCCAAAUUUUUCAUAAGAAUCUGCAACCCGCAUCUUGCAGUACAGUACUGCAGCGCACGGAGGAGCGGCGCAACCUGUGGCGCGAGCUGCUGUACAGGAGCGGCGGAGGGAUGGACCUUUUUGUUGUUCCCCGCUCAUGAGCUGUUCUGGGAUUUGGUCUUUAAGCUACGAUUCCACACCAAGAUUAUGUUCUCUGGAGCUAACCGUGCUGCUGUGCUGGACAGUAUGCUGUCCAGUUUCCGCAGACAUUUGUCAACUGGCAAGAAGUGUCUGCAUACGUUUGAUUAUCUUCCUUGUAUCAACCAUGAAGAUUUCGAUGUUGGAUUUCUGCCUAUGUUCCUUUAUGUCCCAUUUUGUGGGUGCUUUUUUGUUGUUGAAUUUAGGGAGCAGCAAGCGACGGAGGCUCCUACACCCCAGGGGCUCGCCUGGGUGGCCCAUGCCAGGGAAGAAAAUGACAGGGAAGCAACGGUGGCUGCUGGACGCAUGUCAUGCUGGCUCUUGAGAGUUGGAUCUUUCGCGGCCUUGACUGGAUGGCGGAAGAUACGCCUCCCAGACGGCUGA
rnacentral:rRNA from 1 species